CUUCCUAAGUGACCAAGAGGAACAGAACACAGAGCAGCCUGGCAGUGUCCAAGUCACAAGCCGCUGCUCCUCCUUCCUGUACCCUGGGGCUCGUGAAACUCACCGGAGAAGGAGGGUUUUCUGAGAAUUGAGGGAAAUAAACUCUCAGGACUUCCGGUCGCCAUGAUGGUUGUGGGCAAUCAACAGGGUCGCUGCAAGCAUCGGGGGCAUCUUUAAUGGUGAAAAAGAUACAGUAAAGAGAUAAAUACAACAUUUGACAAAUGGACAAAAAGGAGUGUCAUGAAAAGAGUAGCAGCAGUGAUGAAGAGCUGUCGAGACGG